UGCGGGCCCCGCAGCAGAGCGGAGCGGCCACGGCCGGGCGCAGGAAGGGGCGGGACCUGCGGGCGGGCCGGGCCGGGCGCCACCGCCUCCCGCCGGGCGCGGGGACAGCGCCGCGGCCGCGCCGCCGGGGCCGCUGCCGAGAGCGUAUCGAGGAAAUUGAGCUUAACUGGCUGCAGCACCUUGAACCACUUGGGAAACUAUAAGCUACUCAACAAGAGUGAAUAACAGUGUAAUGGAACAGAAAUGAGGGUUCAGCUAUCAUGGAUGAAACUGCCAACAGAUCAGAAGAAUGCAAGAGCUUUUUCUUUCCCACUGGUUUCAGAAGACUUAGUGAAUGUGCUAGCCAGACUGGCUUUUAGCAUUUAGUCCCAAAACCUCUGUCCGCAGUAAAAUGUUAUUUUCUGAUGGUGGGGAAAGCCACAAUUAUUAAAUGCCUGAAAUAAACAGCUAACAUCAUUCACGCUUGAGAUUUAAUGCAGUAGAAUAUAUCCAGUAGAACGGUGGAAAGUGUUCCUCAAGCACCAAAGUACAAAAAACCUCCUAAUUUCAAAUAAAAGUAAUCCUCAUGGAUAAAUACCGUAAAUUAUUAAUGUUAAAAACACCAGCAUUCUCAGAAUCAAUUGGUCUGUGGCUGUAAGCACGUCUCCAAUUUAUACCACCCAUACCUGCAUCCUUACUCCUGCUCUGAGACACAUGCAAGGACACAACAGUCAUGUACCACAAAGGCAGAUAGCAGCAGCAGAUUUUGUGCCAUCAGGACACCCUCACUUCCACCUGGAGUAGAAGAUGCCUUUAGAGGUUGCGAGCAGUUGGAGCUAAGGCACACAUGAUCAGAGCCAGGCCUGGCCCUGCUGUACUCCUGUUACCCUGUACCUGCUGAAUAGCCAGGAGGAAAUGGAUGUACAGAGCAGUGCAGCUCUGUCCCAAUCCCACUGCGGCACGUCUGUCUGAGCUUCAGGUACACCGUUGUGUCAAGGGGACACACAUGUAUUUAAUGUUCUCAGGUCAUGUUCUCAUGUUUUUCUUAGGAGUCAUUAAGGCUUAAACUUACUUUAAAUUAAAAACUGAAACUCGAAAGUAAAGGGGUGACUCCUGAACACCUUAGAAGGGAUCUCUAUGUUUUCCGUCCCUUUUUAAGAAGGCAACAUUUCCCCUCUAUCCUUGAUCAAGAAGGAAGUCUGUUCGAAGCACAGCUGUGUGUGCUGUCCACCAGCAGUGCUGGCAACAUUUCUGUGGUGGGCAGGGAGGAUCUUUGGGGAUUUAGGCUCACCUGGCUUUUAUAUCUUCCAGUUUCCAGUCCCAGGAAUACCUACAAGAUUUGCCCGCAGAGGUAAAAUCCAAGAGCAUGUUUUGUAUCAUACAUGAAUAAAGCUAAAAACAAUAUUCAAUUUCCAUUUAUUAUUAGGAGACACAUGCUUUGUAAUGUUUUACAGUUUUCCCCCUAUUGCUAAAGGUGGUUAUUUUUUCUUCUAAAAGGUUCAACCACACCAUCUUAGAAUUGCUGACAGAGGAAAAAGAUUGCUGUGUUAACAAGAGCAUGUUUCCAGUAUCUUCUCGUCAAGUUUAGUUCAGAAAUCUGGCAAGGAAGCUGAA